CAGACGUCGCGACCUGUUCGUCGCCGGUCCUUGCUCGGAGGAAUUGCGAUCGAGUUCGUUGCGGGUGCGUUUCGGCGUGUCUCGCGGCGAAGACGCGACUCUCUGGCUGGCGACGGACAGUAAGCAACGGUGGCCGGCGUCGUGUCUCGCACUCGACGUCGGUGCCGGUCAGCGACGAUUUCUUCGGGCCUCUUUCCGACCCGUCUUGAAACACGGACCAAGGAGUCUAACAUGCGCGCGAGUCGCGGGGUUUCGAGCGUGCCACGGUGCGCUCGUUACUUCCGAAACCCGUACGUUGAAGGCGUAAUGAAAGUGAACAGGGAAGAUGGCGUUCCGAGUCCACGUACCGUGAUCGUGUAUCGCGGCCGGACGUCCGCACUCCCGGGGCGUCUCAAUGGUUCGACGCGGAUGCGGACGGUCGUCCUUCGGGGCGGCCGUCGGUCUGCGUCGGUCCGAGGCGCACCUAUAGCGUGCACGUUGGUACCCGAAAGAUGGUGAACUAUGCCUGGCCAGGAUGAAGUCAGGGGAAACCCUGAUGGAGGUCCGCAGCGAUUCUGACGUGCAAAUCGAUCGUCUGAGC
rnacentral:rRNA from 1 species